UAAAGUCUAGGUAAGAGAAAGGCAUGAUAUAAAGUUGAGCUACUGUUUAUCUUGUUUCUACUACACUAAGUUCUGAAGAUUUAUUUUGAAAACUUACAAAUCACAUGAUGAGUUCCUAGCAUAACAAAACUACCUACCACAGCCAUACUUGCUAUAACAUCUUUUACUAUAUUUACAUUGAGUUUGAUCGAGCUGUGUAGACCCUUAGGAGCUUUUCAUGUGGUUAAAUUAAGAUAUUCACUUGCACACAUCUACCGCAGCAUUCAUCAUUUAUUAAAAUUGCUAAAAAAAUAUUUUCACUCACUGUCCCGAAUAUUGUUAUUCUCUCUCUCUAAAAAGAUUCAAUGCAGAAGAGGCAUGGGUUAUGCAAAAAUAUGCGAGGAAAUAAAAAGGGGCAAGUGCCCGGAACCUCGGAAAAGAAAGAAAAAGAGUGAGACGAGAGGUAAAAAUGGACAAGUGUCCGAAGUAGAAUUAGGGGUACAAAGAUGCCCACUUGAGCGGAAAAAAUGGACAAGUGUCCGACGGUAGAAUUAGGGGUAU
rnacentral:lncRNA from 1 species